CACAACAGUCAGGAGGGCCUUUGUCGUGCAGUGAUAAUAUCCCUAACCUCUGGACCAGCAGGUCCAACUUCUCACUUGCUCCAGAAGUGAUUAAAAAUAUCUGCAAAAGAGCCAGACAUAAGGCCAGUUGUCAAAAGCACACAAGGUUUUAAUGUAAAGUCUGCACCUUUUACUUUUUUGAUUGUGGGCUAAAACGGAAAACAGGCUGCUUUAAAUCCAAGGAUGCUGGACCAAGGAAUAAAAACAAAUUACUGGAACUCAUUGUGAAUGUAAAAGAUCCCACAGUACCAUGCUGAAGAAAAGCAGGAUAGUUGUACCCCUGUCCUGGGGAUAUCAUUUGUGACAUGGCCAUUGAGAUGUUCCUGGAACUGGGACAGACCCUGAC